UAAGGAAUAUUGGUCAAUGGACGCAAGUCUGAACCAGCCAUGCCGCGUGAAGGAUGAAGGUCCUCUGGAUUGUAAACUUCUUUUAUCUGGGACGAAAACGGGAUUUUUAUCUCAAUUGACGGUACCAGAGGUAUAAGCACCGGCUAACUCCGUGCCAGCAGCCGCGGUAAUACGGAGGGUGCGAGCGUUAUCCGGAUUUACUGGGUUUAAAGGGUGCGUAGGUGGGCUUAUAAGUCAGUGGUGAAAUCUCCGAGCUUAACUUGGAAACUGCCGUUGAUACUAUAGGUCUUGAAUUAUCUGGAGGUCAGCGGAAUAUGUCAUGUAGCGGUGAAAUGCUUAGAUAUGACAUAGAACACCAAUUGCGAAGGCAGCUUACUACAUAUAAAUUGACGCUGAGGCACGAAAGCGUGGGGAUCAAACA
rnacentral:rRNA from 1 species